UUCCCCUACGGGAGGCAGCAGUGAGGAAUAUUGGUCAAUGGACGGAAGUCUGAACCAGCCAUGCCGCGUGCAGGAAGACGGCUCUAUGAGUUGUAAACUGCUUUUGUACAAGGGUAAACCUGAAUACGUGUAUUCAGCUGAAAGUACUGUACGAAUAAGGAUCGGCUAACUCCGUGCCAGCAGCCGCGGUAAUACGGAGGAUCCGAGCGUUAUCCGGAUUUAUUGGGUUUAAAGGGUGCGUAGGCGGGCUGUUAAGUCAGCGGUAAAAGCCCGGGGCUCAACCCCGGCGAGCCGUUGAAACUGGG
rnacentral:rRNA from 1 species